CCUACGGGGGGCUGCAGUGGGGAAUUUUGCGCAAUGCUCGUAAGAGUGACGCAGCGACGCCGCGUGAAUGACGAAGGCCUUCGGGUCGUAAAGUUCUUUCGACAGGGAAGAAAAUGCCUAUAAGUAACUGUGUAUGUAUUGACGGUACCUGUAUAAGCAGCACCGGCUAACUCCGUGCCAGCAGCCGCGGUAAUACGGAGGGGGCGAGCGUUGUUCGGAGGGACUGGGCGUAAAGAGCACGUAGGCGGUGUUGUAAGUCAUUAGUCAAAGACUAGAGCUCAACUUUAGUAAGGCUAGUGAUACUAUAAUACUAGAGUAUCAGAGAGGAUUGCAGAAUUCCUGGUGUAGCGGUGAAAUGCGUAGAUAUCAGGAGGAAUACCGUUAGCGAAGGCGGCAAUCUGGCUGGAAACUGACGCUGAGGUGCGAAAGCGUGGGUAGCAAACAGGAUUAGAUACCCUUGUAGUC
rnacentral:rRNA from 1 species